GAUGAACGCUGGCGGCGUGCCUAAUACAUGCAAGUCGAGCGAACGGACGAGAAGCUUGCUUCUCUGAUGUUAGCGGCGGACGGGUGAGUAACACGUGGAUAACCUACCUAUAAGACUGGGAUAACUUCGGGAAACCGGAGCUAAUACCGGAUGAUAUUUUGAACCGCAUGGUUCAAAAGUGAAAGACGGUCUUGCUGUCACUUAUAGAUGGAUCCGCGCUGCAUUAGCUAGUUGGUAAGGUAACGGCUUACCAAGGCAACGAUGCAUAGCCGACCUGAGAGAGUGAUCGGCCACACUGGAACUGAGACACGGUCCAGACUCCUACGGGAGGCAGCAGUGGGGAAUCUUCCGCAAUGGGCGAAAGCCUGACGGAGCAACGCCGCGUGAGUGAUGAAGGUCUUCGGAUCGUAAAGCUCUGUUAUUAGGGAAGAACAUAUGUGUAAGUAACUGUGCACAUCUUGACGGUACCUAAUCAGAAAGCAACGGCUAACUACGUG
rnacentral:rRNA from 1 species